AAGUGAGGUGUAGAGGAGUCACAUAUCAGUGCAGAGCCAGAUACGUGCUCUUUACAGCAUACAAGCUUGGACUUGGGGCACUAGCCAGGUUCCAUCAUUUAGCUGCUCUCUGCAGAAAAAUGACCUCGCAUGAAUCAUGUCAUUUGAAAAGAAGCUUGUGAACAACAAAAGCCACAUCCCUUUGCCCACGUACUUCACUUUGUUUUGUUUUGUUUCAUCCUGCUCUGGCUUUUGACCUUUCUGCAACCACAGGGCCAAAGAACUCUCCAGGAAAACAAUGAGAAAGCAGCACAUAAAGCUUCGCUCUGGUUUCCUCUGCCUGGAACCGCAUUCAUUUCUUCCUCUUCUCUGCUGAUGGACAUGCUGCUGGGUUGGGUCUCGGGGGGCUACAUUCCGUUUGACGCGCUGUUGAUUUAAGAGAAAAUUUAAGACUGCUCUGUCUUUUCUAGGCAAUGGCAGUGAUCCCUGCCAGGCCACUUUUCUGAGAUGGAUCCUUCGCUGUUGGCCAGCGUAUAAAAGUGUGUGCUGCUGCAGACCCAGGCACGUGGCAUCCACUCUGGCAUGCAAGGACUGUUACUCUCCUUUAACAAGCCACCAACAGAAGCAGCAAGAACAACCACCUGAAGUUCAGGGAUCCUUGAGAAGGGCGUUGUGGUCCAGUGGAUGAUAGUGUGUACAUGGCAGACAGAGACCAGAAAGUAUGUCCACCAAACCCAGCAAUAAGUGAUUGCUCUUCAUCUUCAUUCAUAAGUCAUGAUCUUCAAAGGCUCAGAUGAUAGACCUCAACUCAUCAGGCGGUUUCUCUUUAUAAUACCAAGAUCGUGUGCUGUUUUAUAAAUUCUAAGGGCUCUGUCGUUGCUGAUGGGGGUUGUGAGGGAUGGUGUGCUAUCAUGUGAACUCACAUUACAUUUUAAAUGGGAGAAUGGAUGUAUCGACUGCAUGGUAUUGAGCAAGUAGAACAUCCCAAAAAAUGUGCCUGGGCAUCAACAUCUUAAUGGAUCUUGGACAAGACUCAUGCACUGAGUGUGGAUUUCAGUGCGGCCAUUCAGUCAUGCCCUCGACACAGCCUCCAUCAGAACUUUGGGGACCAGAAUUGCUUGGUUUCAGAGCACAAUCUAAGAGAUUUGGGUGGAAGGAUCAGGACCAGAGUGCAAGGUGAACAGAUGCUAACAGAACACACAAAAAUGAAAGCUGUAUUCGAUCCCUGCCUAAAACGAUGUGCUGGGCUUUUUAUCCUAUCUUACUCGAGCUUUACAAGGCAAGUUUUUCCUGUGCAGUAAGGGAAGUUUACCACAGCUUGAUUUCACUGAUCAUAUUUAUAAUCUCUUGCUUUUUUAGCAUGUGUUUUAAUUAAAUGUCAAGCACGCACACACAGAUAACGAAACCAGAAAUAUCUGGUUUCCUCUGCCCCCAGUUUUCAUCUCUGACAGUAAAUGACUAACAAAUAGCUGAUUGUCCUAUAAUAUAACCUGUUUAAUUAUUUAGUGUGGGGUUUGUUUGCUUAUUUAUUUAUUUAGUGCUAGUGGAAAGUGCUAGAUUGACAGCGACUGAAUUCCUGUUUCUCCAGAGACGCAGGCAGAGCACAGACAAGGGAGAGUGGCAGUGCUGCCUAGUGAUGGAGCAGGACUGGCCUUGAAUGGGAGUCCAGAGACCUAUGUUCUAAGCCUAGUUCCAUCAGUGACGUGUUGUGUGAUGUUGGACAAGUCACUUUUCUGCUCUGUGCCUCAGUUUCCCCAUCUGUCAGAAUGAUAAUGACCCAUUUUUGUAAAGUGCUGUGAGCUCUAUGAAUGGACACUGCUAUAAAAGCUAACCAACAGCAAUACUGCAGCUUCUCCCACAUACUGCUCUGAUGAUAGGCCUCAAAUCCCCGUCCACCCAGCCCCCUGCCUCCAUACUACUCUGGCAUAAAAGGAUGGCUUAGGCUCAUCGGCCCAAGAAAUCCUCAGUCUCUCUUCUGAGACAGGCAAGCAGGGUGCCAACUGGGUUGAAUAUGAUGCUUUUUUGCGGGGAAGGGAGAUGGGCACCUGUCCCCUAGGAACUGGACUGAGAACGUGGCAUGUGACUGAUUCAUUCUAAUGGCUGCAGUUUAGUUUAAAUUAGUUUUGGGGAUCCAUCUUUUUGUUGUGUGGCUGUACAGUGGUCCAUGACUUAGGCUCUUGCCCACUACUGCCAUACAAAUAAUAAUAUUUCACGGCACACCUGUUAAAAGUACGGUGGGACUUUUUUUUUUUUUUUAAAAAGACACCUUCUUCACAGCAGCAUCUGCUAUUAAAUCUUUGCAGAGAAGAGUGGCACAUCUCUCAGUUUUGACUGUAGAUUAACGAGGUUCUACCGCAAUAAUAAUUUCCAGCAGUAAGGCGUGAGUGACAGAGCUAUUCAAUAUCUAUUCAACAGCAUUAUUUUUGAGGGCUCUUGACUAGAUGAAAUAGAUGUCAGAAUUCACUUUCUGAUUAAAGAGCACUCAGGUAACUGGGUUUACCAUGGGGACCGGAGGCCAGUGAAAUGUUUAGAAAGGGGCAGGAGUUGUUAUUUUCUAUAUAAAUAGCCGUUUUGACGUGCUGGUACAUUUUGUUUUCCCUUUGAAGGUUAGUUUCUUUAGAAAGAUUUUACUGCUUGUUUCAGCAAAGCUGGUGUGCAGCCAAUGGUGUUAAAACUGGACUGAAGAUAUAUCAAUUUGUAAAACACUCGGUUGGAUGCGAAGGCCUGGCUCUGCUUGAUUUUUUUUUAAAUGCAUUAAAUUCAGUCCCUAGCUUCAAGAGGAGGAUAAAGUUCCUACUCAAGGCACAACCUGGUUCUCUUAACACCCAGGAAAAUCAGAUGCAACAAUCAGGGCUAAUUUUUCUGAUGUAAUGGCCUCCCUUUGCCAGGGGUAAUUUGAACCUGCAAAAUUUGUGCCCACAAAUUUGCAUGCAGACAGUUAUGCCAGACCUCUGCCUUUCUUUGCCCUUUGACUGUGGUUGCAUGUGCAGGCAGAAGACAUGGCAACACCUUGGGAAAACUGCAAAAGUCAUGUGAUUUCAGUGCAAAAUUAAAUAAACUAUCCCAGGUUCUCCCAUAACAAAGCCCAGUUCAUUCAAAAGGUGUGUGGACAUUAGCAAAGCCACUUGAACCCAGGGUGUGAGUUUUGCAUUUGGGACAAAACACAGAAGCAGAUGAAUUUCAUGUUUUGCUGCAAAAAUUAUGCACAGAUCUCCCCCUGUCACUCGGGUACCGGCUGGCUAUUCCCACGCCACAGCCCUUCUCUGGUCAGAGAGAGAGUUUGCAGUAUGCCAGAGUUAAACGAGCAGCUCCUUCUAGGACUCUGGAGAGUGAAAUGGGAAUACAGGUUCUAGUCUCCUGUCAGAUUUAAGACCUCUUCUUCAAGCAGGGCGACCAAGCCUGAGGAGCCAGCUAGCAAAACUAGAGGAAGGGGGGGGAAAUCUGUUUAUAACCCAGCAUCAGAUUGUCAGAACUCCAACACAAUAAAAACAGGGUCACUUUUUAAUAAAACCAGAUGUCCGGCCUAGGCAUUCUGAGCGUUACCCUGUGGAAACAUUUAUGGUGAGUCAGGUCGAAAUCCAAAACAAAAAUCCCCUUGUUCCAUUCGCUGUGGCAGCUUGUGGGCACAGUGAGAUUACACAGCUCCAGUGGACACUUUCAGCCCACCUGCCCAUAUAAGGACGGAUCACACAUUCACAGCUGCUAUUUGUUUAGAGUCAAAAUCCUGUCUCACUGCUCCCGAAGCAUCCGCAACAGGGUCUUAGCCGGUGCCUUAGCCUGACCUCUCCUUCUGCUGAUGUCAACACCAAAGAAUAGGGUUUCGGUGCCCAGCCCAAAUCUGGCUGUAGCAGCCAGAUGGGCAUCGAUCCACCACAUUCUGCCCAUGUUUCCACAGCAUAGACCAGUUCCAGCUGAGCUAUUGACAGGAGAGUUGCACAGUACAUCAGUCCUUGCUGCCUCUGGCAAGUCUGCCAACUACUACCAGUUUGGGUAGGCUUUGUGGCAUAGAAAUUUACUCCUAAAGACCAGCUUUCCUUGGAUAACUAUGAUCUUGGGGAAGGGUGUCAUUUUUUACCACUAUAGUUAUACUGGCACAACUGCUAGUGUGGAUGUUUUUCCCCCUCCCAUAGUGGGGGGAGGGGUAGCUCAGUGGUUUGAGCAUUGGCCUGCUAAACUCAGGGUUGAGAGUUCAAUCCUUGAGGGGACCACUUAGGGAUCUGGGGCAAAAAUCAGUACUUGGUCCUGCUAGUGAAGGCAGGGGGCUGGACUCAAUGACCUUUUAAGGUCCCUUCCAGUUCUAGGAGAUUGGUAUAUCUCCUAUUAUUAUUAUUAAAUUAUAUAGGUAAGCACAAAAAUACCAGUAUUAAUUAACUAAUUAAUAAUACCUAGCUGCUACAUAGUGCUUUUCAGCACUAGAUCUGGAAGCACUUUAAAAAGGAGGUCAGUGUCAUCAUCCCCAUUUUAGAGGUGGGGAAAACCAGGCACAAAGUGGUUGUAUUGCUUUAAAUAUACAAGUAUAGUUAGAAUAGUACAAAUCUAGUGUGUAGACAAACCCUUAGACUAUCGAGCAACCAUUUCAGGUUGAUCCAAAAAAAUUGAAAUUUUUGGCAAAUUGAAAAGACCAACAAAAAUCAUGACAGGUUGAAUGAAACAUUUUGUUUGACCUGGAACAAAAUGUUUCAUUUGGAUUUUGAGCAAUUUUUUACGUUUUACAUUUUUCUUUAAAAAAAAAGUUGCUAAAUAAAGUUAUUUUGAACCCCAAAAAAUCAAUGUUUUGUUUGGAAAAUGUCAGAAUAAAAUGUUUCAAUAUUUUCAGAGAGGUUUUUUUUUCCCAACUGAAAUAAUUUGGCAAAACUCGAGACAAAUUUGUGCAAUGUUUUGGUAUCACCAAAUCUGCAUUUUUCUCUGAAAAAGGUUUCAGCCAAAAAAUUUGCCCAGCUCCAGGAGUCACUUCCAGCCAUUAUCAACCUGGGAUGAGUGGCAACUGGGGAUGCAUGCAGCUAAAACCCAUAGUUUGUCUCCAUCAGGAACAACAGAAUUUGGUGUUUGGAAAUCAAGCCUGCCCUUUCCAGGGGAUCAAGUCACAGACAUCUGAGGAGUCGCAGGGAAUGCCCAAGUUAUUAAGAAACAGGGGAAGUCCUAGUGAUAGCUGUGUUUAUUGGCUAAUAGGUAUUUUUA